ensembl:misc_RNA Metazoa_SRP Metazoan signal recognition particle RNA
GCUGGGCGUGGUGGCGCAUGCCUGUAAUCCCAGCUACUCAGGAGGCUGAGGUGGGAGAAUCACUUGAACCCAGGUGGCAGAGGUUACAGUGAGCUGAGACGGUGCCACUACACUUCAGCCUGGGUGACAGAGUGAAACCCUGUCUCAA